CCUUCAAAUUCCUCUCACCAUCUUUUUUUAUUUAUUUGAUUAUUUUAAUUGAACCAAAAAAACGAAAUUCUAGGAACAAGGAGAGACACACUACAUCCAACUCACAUUCUUGACCCUCACAUGUAGGUUGGUGCUUUUAUCUUCUCUACAAUAGGAUGUGCGGCAAUGGAUUGUUUAUGUGUUUUGAUGAAUGCAAACAGUUUUGGGCAGGCUGUGUCUGGUACCACUUCUUUCUUCCACAUGUCUGGGAAUGCUGGGUUUCUUAUUAUUCUUCUCACUCUUUCUGCUAUUUUUAAUGUCGGAUCUACUUCAAGUUCUUCUGGCCUGGAGUCAUCAAUGUAUCGGUGCAAAAAUGCGUCAUACUCUUCUUGGUUUAUCAACACUAUCUUCUUAGUUUUAGCCUCUCUUGUAAAACUAAUUUAUUAUCCCAGGC
rnacentral:lncRNA from 1 species